rnacentral:rRNA from 1 species
UACGUAGGGUGCAAGCGUUGUCCGGAAUUAUUGGGCGUAAAGAGCUCGUAGGCGGUCUGUCGCGUCGGCUGUGAAAACUCGGGGCUCAACUCCGAGCUUGCAGUCGAUACGGGCAGGCUAGAGUUCGGCGGGGGAGACUGGAAUUCCUGGUGUAGCGGUGAAAUGCGCAGAUAUCAGGAGGAACACCGGUGGCGAAGGCGGGUCUCUGGGCCGAUACUGACGCUGAGGAGCGAAAGCGUGGGGGAGCGAACAGG